GCCUGGGUGGCUCAGUCGGUUGAGCAUCCGACUUCAGCUCAGGUCACGAUCUCGCGGUCCGUGGGUUUGAGCCCCGCGUCGGGCU
rnacentral:tRNA from 1 species